GCGUCAUUAGCUCAGAUGGUAGAGCACACGACUUUUAAUCGUGUUGUCACAGGUUCGACUCCUGUAUGACGCACCA
rnacentral:tRNA from 2 species